rnacentral:rRNA from 1 species
CCUACGGGUGGCAGCAGUGAGGAAUAUUGGUCAAUGGUCGGGAGACUGAACCAGCCAAGACGCGUGAGGGAUGAAGGUCCAGAGUAUCGUAAACCUCUUUUGUCAGGGAACAAAGGCGGGGACGCGUCCCCGGAUGAGUGUACCUGAUGAAAAAGCAUCGGCUAACUCCGUGCCAGCAGCCGCGGUAAUACGGAGGUUGCGAGCGUUAUCCGGAUUUAUGGGGUUAAAAGGGUGCUAAGGGGGUUUGUUAAGUCAGUGGGAAAAGUCCGGGGCUCAACCCCGGCCCGCCGUUGAAACUGGCAGUCUCGAGUGGGAGAGAGGUAUGCGGAAUGAGCGGUGUAGCGGGGAAAUGCAUAGAUAUCGCGCAGAACUCCGAUUGCGAAGGCAGCAGGCCGGCUCCACACUGACGCUGAGGCACGAAAGCGUGGGUAUCGAACAGGAUUAGAUACCCGAGUAGUC